rnacentral:rRNA from 1 species
AUGCAAGUUCAAGAAGUAGCAAUCUGCAAGAGAGUUGUUUUUCGUGCUAACAAACCCGUUAUCUGUUAUGCUCCAUUAACCCGGGAUAAGAAGUGAAUAGCGAAUCUGAACCACGUCUACAAUUGCAAUGACACAGAGGCUUUGUGGGUGCUAAGAAUGAGAAGAGCACCUUUUUUCAGGCUUGUGCGGACGUUCAAGAGCAGGCGGUUGCUAGAAGAUAGCAUCAACACCAGUGUGGAAGAGCAAGUUGCCAUGUUCCUCCAUGUUGUCGGUCAUAACCAGAGGUUUAGGCUUAUCCACAACAAGUUCAGGAGAUCAAUGGAGACCAUUUCCAGGUACUUCAAGGAAGUGUUGUAUGCUAUUGGGGAGCUCAGAGGUGAGAUGAUCAAGUCACCAACCGUCCUUACUCCUAGCAAGAUUCGCACUAGCUCAAAAUGGUAUCCAUAUUUCAAGGUGAGCAUUGACAAUAUAGUUCAUGCCUUGACAUGCUUGUAUUGCUCUUCUAUAGCCAUAACACCAUCUUUUCAUGCCAUUUCAGGAUUGCAUUGGGGCAAUAUAUGUUACACAUGUCACUGCUAG